rnacentral:lncRNA from 1 species
ACUUGCCCCAAAUGUGCAGCAUAAAUACAGAAGCGAUGAACAGAAGACUCAUCACCAGCACUGGGACAGGGCCCACUUUGAGCCCUGGGGAAUCUUCCGUGUAGAAUCGCCACAUCCCCCCAGUCCCUGCAGAGGUGGUGCGGCCUGUGCUCCGGGUCCCACAGCUGGCAUUUUUUCUCUGCCGAACAGUGGAUCCCGCAGCCCGUGCGGCCACCGCUUUGCUGGGAGAGCGGCCAGAGGAGCCCACGUUGGUGCCACUGGGCGUUGGACCCGGCUGCAGAGCUAAAUUCUUCAUCUUGGACCAGUGGAAUGAAUCUUGUCCCCCUGUGAGCCAUGCAGAAACAAC